GACUAAUCUGCAGCCCGACUUGAACGGAGCUCAUUUUUUUGCGGUUGGAAAAGUGAGGCAAAAAUAGCGGGAGUGGAAGGCGGAAAAGCUG
rnacentral:sRNA from 1 species